CAAGGGUCAUUGCUUCUUAUGCAUGUGCGGUUUUCCAGCUAUGCGGUAAAGGAUGCUGUGUUGUCCAAGUGUGUGUCAUGUCGUUUCCACGGUCUUUAAACAUGCUGGAAAGUUUGAUGACCUGCCAGGGAAUUAGCUCUUCCUAGAUUUGGAAAAUGCUUAAUUCCAUAAUUGAUGUCUGAGGUAGUAACUUGGCUGUUAUUUGACCUGCACUUCUGAAAGGUGUGCAGGUACUAACAUUACUUUCAUAAGAGAUUAACAGUACUUGUUGUGCAAAUCCUUUGAACAGAGUCUAAUGAGGCUGUCUAAGUCAUGGGUGUAUGUUUCGGGGCUGGGAACCCUGUUUGUCUGCUUCCAUGGUGAUUUGAUUGGCAUGUGAUGGAAAGACAGUACUUGGUUGAUGGGCUGGUGGUGGUGGUGAACACUGGCACCAAGUCAGACUUGAAGCAUUAUUUAAUAACGUGCGUGUGGAUUUGUAUACAUUUACUUGCGGUUGUGGUUUGAGUAGUCUUUUUUAGAAUUGUUUAUCAUUUUUAUGAUGGACCAAAGCAGGGUGUAGCAGUGUACUCUCUUGUUGGAUCACAGCAGGUAGUCUAGGCCUGCAGAUUACUCAGUCUCUUGUUAGAUCACAGCAGGUAGUCUGGGCCUGCAGACUAGUCAGUCUCUUGUUAGAUCACAGCAGGUAGUCUAGGGCUGCAGACUAGUCAGUCUCUUGUUAGAUCACAGCAGGUAGUCUGGGCCUGCAGACUAGUCAGUCUCUUGUUAGAUCACAGCAGGUAGUCUAGGCCUGCAGACUAGUCAGUCUCUUGUUAGAUCACAGCAGGUAGUCUGGGCCUGCAGACUACUCAGUCUCUUGUUAGAUCACAGCAGGUAGUCUAGGCCUGCAGACUACUCAGUCUCUUGUUAGAUCACAGCAGGUAGUCUGGGCCUGCAGACUAGUCAGUCUCUUGUUAGAUCACAGCAGGUAGUCUAGGCCUGCAGACUAGUCAGGUCACAGCAGGUAGUCCGGGCCUGCAGACUAGUCAGUCUGUUGUUAGAUCACAGCAGGUAGUCUGGGCCUGCAGACUACUCAGUCUCUUGUUGGAUCACAGCAGGUAGUCUGGGCCUGCAGACUAGUCAGUCUCUUGUUAGAUCACAGCAGGUAGUCUAGGCCUGCAGACUAGUCAGUCUCUUGUUAGAUCACAGCAGGUAGUCUAGGCCUGCAGACUAGUCAGUCUCUUGUUAGAUCACAGCAGGUAGUCUGGGCCUGCAGACUAGUCAGUCUCUUGUUGGAUCACAGCAGGUAGUCUGCGCCUGCAGACUAGCAGACUAGUCAGUUUCUUGUUGGAUCACAGCAGGUAGUCUAGGCCUGCAGACUAGUAAGUCUCUUGUUAGAUCACAGCAGGUAGUCUGGGCCUGCAGACUAGUCAGUCUCUUGUUGGAUCACAGCAGGUAGUCUGCGCCUGCAGACUAGUCAGUCUCUUGUUGGAUCACAGCAGGUAGUCUGGGCCUGCAGACUAGUCAGUCUCUUGUUGGAUCACAGCAGGUAGUCUGGGCCUGCAGACUAGUCAG